rnacentral:rRNA from 1 species
CGGGCACUGAGACACGGGCCCGACUCCUACGGGAGGCAGCAGUAAGGAAUAUUGGUCAAUGGACGCAAGUCUGAACCAGCCAUGCCGCGUGAAGGAUGAAGGCCCUCUGGGUUGUAAACUUCUUUUAUCUGGGACGAAAAAAGGGAAUUCUUUCUCACUUGACGGUACCAGAAGAAUAAGCACCGGCUAACUCCGUGCCAGCAGCCGCGGUAAUACGGAGGGUGCAAGCGUUAUCCGGAUUUACUGGGUUUAAAGGGUGCGUAGGUGGGCAGGUAAGUCAGCGGUGAAAUCUCCGAGCUUAACUCGGAAACUGCCAUUGAUACUAUCUGUCUUGAAUAUCCUGGAGGUGAGCGGAAUAUGUCAUGUAGCGGUGAAAUGCUUAGAUAUGACAUAGAACACCAAUUGCGAAGGCAGCUCACUACGGGAUUAUUGACACUGAGGCACGAAAGCGUGGGGAUCAAACAGGAUUAGAUACCCUGGUAGUCCACGCCCUAAACGAUGGAUACUCGACAUCAGCGAUACACUGUUGGUGUCUGAGCGAAAGCAUUAAGUAUCCCACCUGGGAAGUACGAUCGCAAGAUUGAAACUCAAAGGAAUUGACG